rnacentral:tRNA from 1 species
UCCCUGGUGGUCCAGUGGCCAAGACUCUGCACUCCCGGUGCAGGGGAGCCAGGUUCGAUUCCUGGUCAGGGAA